rnacentral:rRNA from 1 species
AUUGAACGCUGGCGGCAGGCCUAACACAUGCAAGUCGAGCGGAUGAAGGGAGCUUGCUCCUGGAUUCAGCGGCGGACGGGUGAGUAAUGCCUAGGAAUCUGCCUGGUAGUGGGGGAUAACGUCCGGAAACGGGCGCUAAUACCGCAUACGUCCUGAUGGAGAAAGUGGGGGAUCUUCGGACCUCACGCUAUCAGAUGAGCCUAGGUCGGAUUAGCUAGUUGGUGGGGUAAAGGCCUACCAAGGCGACGAUCCGUAACUGGUCUGAGAGGAUGAUCAGUCACACUGGAACUGAGACACGGUCCAGACUCCUACGGGAGGCAGCAGUGGGGAAUAUUCGACAAUGGGCGAAAGCCUGAUCCAGCCAUGCCGCGUGUGUGAAGAAGGUCUUCGGAUUGUAAAGCACUUUUAGUUGGGAGGAAGGGCAGUAAGUUAAUACCUUGCUGUUUUGACGUUACCAACAGAAUAAGCCCCGGCUAACUUCGUG